rnacentral:rRNA from 1 species
GACAGAGGUGCCAAGCGUUAGGCGGAAUCACUGGGCUUAAAGCGUGUGUAGGCGGAAUGGUAAGUACCUUGUGAAAUCCCACGGCUCAACCGUGGAACUGCUUGGUAUACUGCUUUCUUGAGCCACUUAGGGGCAACCGGAACAAACGGUGGAGCGGUGAAAUGCGUAGAUAUCGUUUGGAACGCCAAUGGUGAAAACAGGUUGCUGGGAGUGUGCUGACGCUGAGACACGAAAGCCAGGGGAGCAAACGGG